UACGGAGGGUGCGAGCGUUAAUCGGAAUACCUGGGCGUCAAGUGCACGCAGGCGGGCUUUUAAGCGAGGUGUGAAAUCCCCGGGCUUAACCUGGGAAUAGCAUUUCAGACUGGGAGUCUAGAGUCCUUUAGGGAGGGGUAGAAUUCCACGUGUAGCGGUGAAAUGCGUAGAGAUGUGGAGGAAUACCGAAGGCGAAGGCAGCCCCUUGGGAAUGUACUGACGCUCAUGUGCGAAAGCGUGGGGAGCAAACAGG
rnacentral:rRNA from 1 species